GAUGAACGCUGGCGGCAUGCCUAACACAUGCAAGUCGAGCGAAUGGAUGGGGAGUUCUCGUGGAUGAGGUUGGCGGCGGUCGGGUGAUUCCCACGUGUAUGACCUAACUAGAAGACUGGGGUACUGACACGGGAUCGGAUCUAACAACCGACAAUAUUUUGAACGUGGUGGUUCUAAAGUGAAAGACGGUAUUGCUGAGACUAAUAGAUGGUCCCGCGUUGGAUGAGUUAGUGGGUAAGGAGACGGCUUACCAAGGCUACGAUGCAUAGCCGACCUGAGAGGGUGAUCAGCCACACUGUAACUGAGACACGGUCCAGACUCCUACGGGAGGCAGCAGUCGGGAAUCUUACGCAAUGGGCGAAAGCCUGACAUAGCAACGCCGCGUGAGUGAUGAAGGUCUUCGGAUCGUAAAGCUCUGUAAGUAGGGAGGAAGUAAAGUGUGUUUACCCGUGACCAUCUUGACGGUACCUAAAGAAUAAGCCCCGGCUAACUCCGUG
rnacentral:rRNA from 1 species